GCCCCGGUAAACGGCGGCCGUAACUAUAACGGUCCUAAGGUAGCGAAAUUCCUUGUCGGGUAAGUUCCGACCUGCACGAAUGGCGUAAUGAUGGCCAGGCUGUCUCCACCCGAGACUCAGUGAAAUUGAACUCGCUGUGAAGAUGCAGUGUACCCGCGGCAAGACGGAAAGACCCCGUGAACCUUUACUAUAGCUUGACACUGAACAUUGAGCCUUGAUGUGUAGGAUAGGUGGGAGGCUUUGAAGUGUGGACGCCAGUCUGCAUGGAGCCGACCUUGAAAUACCACCCUUUAAUGUUUGAUGUUCUAACGUUGGCCCGUAAUCCGGGUUGCGGACAGUGUCUGGUGGGUAGUUUGACUGGGGCGGUCUCCUCCUAAAGAGUAACGGAGGAGCACGAAGGUUGGCUAAUCCUGGUCGGACAUCAGGAGGUUAGUGCAAUGGCAUAAGCCAGCUUGACUGCGAGCGUGACGGCGCGAGCAGGUGCGAAAGCAGGUCAUAGUGAUCCGGUGGUUCUGAAUGGAAGGGCCAUCGCUCAACGGAUAAAAGGUACUCCGGGGAUAACAGGCUGAUACCGCCCAAGAGUUCAUAUCGACGGCGGUGUUUGGCACCUCGAUGUCGGCUCAUCACAUCCUGGGGCUGAAGUAGGUCCCAAGGGUAUGGCUGUUCGCCAUUUAAAGUGGUACGCGAGCUGGGUUUAGAACGUCGUGAGACAGUUCGGUCCCUAUCUGCCGUGGGCGCUGGAGAACUGAGGGGGGCUGCUCCUAGUACGAGAGGACCGGAGUGGACGCAUCACUGGUG
rnacentral:rRNA from 1 species